GACGAACGCUGGCGGCGUGCUUAACACAUGCAAGUCGAACGGAAAGGCCCUGCUUUUGUGGGGUGCUCGAGUGGCGAACGGGUGAGUAACACGUGAGUAACCUGCCCUUGACUUUGGGAUAACUUCAGGAAACUGGGGCUAAUACCGGAUAGGAGCUCCUGCUGCAUGGUGGGGGUUGGAAAGUUUCGGCGGUUGGGGAUGGACUCGCGGCUUAUCAGCUUGUUGGUGGGGUAGUGGCUUACCAAGGCUUUGACGGGUAGCCGGCCUGAGAGGGUGACCGGCCACAUUGGGACUGAGAUACGGCCCAGACUCCUACGGGAGGCAGCAGUGGGGAAUAUUGCACAAUGGGCGGAAGCCUGAUGCAGCAACGCCGCGUGCGGGAUGACGGCCUUCGGGUUGUAAACCGCUUUCGCCUGUGACGAAGCGUGAGUGACGGUAAUGGGGAAAGAAGACCGGCUAACUACGUG
rnacentral:rRNA from 1 species